rfam:Picea glauca, whole genome shotgun sequence.
AUUAAUAUUAAACCUUGUCAAAAAUAGUAUAGACAAGGGGAUUCCAACUGUUUAAUUAAAACAAAGAAGUAUGAUUUUCUCUAUGGAUGUUGAUGCAAUGUGAUUUAUACCCAGUUCUCUGCAUGUGAAAGUGAAGAAAUUCAACCAAGCACGGGUAAACAAUUGGAGUAAUUAUGAAUCUCUUAAGGUAGUGAGAUGCCUAAUCAUCUAAUUAGUGACAUGUGUGAAUGGAUUAACAAGAUUCCCAUUAUCCCUAACUACUAUCUAUAGAAACCACAACCAAUGAAUAUUAG